rnacentral:lncRNA from 1 species
GUCUUUAACAUGUGAUAACAGUGUUCCCAGUUAUCACAUGUUGGCUUUGUUUAAAGUGUUUUUUAUAUGGUUUGCCCUCAGUGGUUUGAUAUAGUUUUUUUUUUUCCCCAUGGAGUAAAAAUAUUGCUUGUUUUGAUAUCUGCCUUUAAAAGGCUGUCAAUCAACUUAUUCUUUUUCAUUUGCCCCCUUGUAGAGAAGAUAGUAUUUAUAAUAUUAGCACACUACAAAAUUUGAAGGCAUUAAAAUUUUGCUAUUGUCAGAGAAAAAGAAAGAAUUAGGAAUUACAAUUGGUUUUUAUUGCCAUUUCUUUGACUGAUUUGAAGAUGGUUUAUUUUGUGUUUCCUACUUGCUCUUCCUCAUCUGCUUUUCAUUGAUCCUAUUUACAUGUAUCUCUGUAUAUUUCUCUCUUAACUGUUUUACAUGCCCUUUCAUUCCAUUCUGUAGUGAAGUACAGUGGCAUAAUGGAGAGAGAGAGUGGGUUCAGAUCUGAAUUCCACCUCAAGCUUGAUCACUUAAAAGCUCUCUAGUUGUGGGAAAGUUUCCUAACCUCUGAGUCAGGGUCCCCAUCUCUAAAAUGGAAAUUUAUAAUAUUUUCUUUUCAUGGAAGGAAAAUAAAUGACCGUAAAUACAUCAUAAUAUUUUAUAUGACAAAAUUUAGGGACUUGAUAAAUGGUAGCACUGUGUAUGUAAAAAGGCAUCUAUUUAAUUGUUGGCCUUCUAAACUGCUAAAAUGUG